GUCAGUUUGUCCGAGUGGUUAAGGAGAAAAGAUUAGAAAUCUUUUGGGCUUUGCCCGCACAGGUUCGAAUCCUGUAGCUGACG
rnacentral:tRNA from 1 species